rnacentral:rRNA from 1 species
GAUGAACGCUGGCGGCGUGCCUAAUACAUGCAAGUCGAGCGAACAGACGAGGAGCUUGCUCCUCUGACGUUAGCGGCGGACGGGUGAGUAACACGUGGAUAACCUACCUAUAAGACUGGGAUAACUUCGGGAAACCGGAGCUAAUACCGGAUAACAUGUUGAACCGCAUGGUUCAACAGUGAAAGACGGUCUUGCUGUCACUUAUAGAUGGAUCCGCGCCGCAUUAGCUAGUUGGUAAGGUAACGGCUUACCAAGGCAACGAUGCGUAGCCGACCUGAGAGGGUGAUCGGCCACACUGGAACUGAGACACGGUCCAGACUCCUACGGGAGGCAGCAGUAGGGAAUCUUCCGCAGUGGGCGAAAGCCUGACGGAGCAACGCCGCGUGAGUGAAGAAGGUCUUCGGAUCGUAAAACGCUGUUAUUAGGGAAGAACAAAUGUGUAAGUAACUAUGCACGUCUUGACGGUACCUAAUCAGAAAGCCACGGCUAACUACGU